GACGAACGCUGGCGGCGUGCUUAACACAUGCAAGUCGAACGGUAAGGCCCUUCGGGGUACACGAGUGGCGAACGGGUGAGUAACACGUGGGUGAUCUGCCCUGCACUUCGGGAUAAGCCUGGGAAACUGGGUCUAAUACCGGAUAGGACCCUGGGAUGCAUGUCCUGGGGUGGAAAGCUUUUGCGGUGUGGGAUGGGCCCGCGGCCUACCAGCUUGUUGGUGGGGUGAUGGCCUACCAAGGCGACGACGGGUAGCCGGCCUGAGAGGGUGACGCGCCACACUGGGACUGGGAUACGGCCCAGACUCCUACGGGAGGCAGCAGUGGGGAAUAUUGCACAAUGGGCGCAAGCCUGAUGCAGCGACGCCGCGUGAGGGAUGACGGCCUUCGGGUUGUAAACCUCUUUCAGCACCGACGAAGCGCAAGUGACGGUAGGUGCAGAAGAAGGACCGGCCAACUACGUGCCAGCCGCCGCAGUAA
rnacentral:rRNA from 1 species